rnacentral:misc_RNA from 1 species
UGCGCGGUUGACGAGGAAGCCCGGCGAACUCUUCACCGGCAGCGGCAGACGAUCGAUGGCGCCGACAAACUUCAAAGCUGUCGCCAAUGCGUGGGGAUCGACGGUGUCGUGGCUNCACCUCGACGAGUUGCAAACGUGACACCGGAUUGAAGAAAUGCAGGCCCAGCAGCCGCUCGGGAUGCUUCAGCGUGGUGCGCAGAUCCUGCAACGGAAUGCUGGAGGUGUUGGUGGCAAGGAUCGCGCCGGCUUUCAUCACAGGCUCGAGCCCGGCAUAGACCUUCUGUUUCAGUUCGAGCUUUUCCGGCACCGCCUCANCAGCUCGAGUUUUUCCGGCACCGCCUCGAUGAUCAGAUCGGCGUUGCGCACGCCCUCCCCGNGUCGAGCGCAUCGCGCAGAUCGGUCUUCUUGCGGAUGAUCUUGCCGAACAGCUCUGCCGCCCGCUUGAUCGCUCCGGCAAUCGGCUCGGCCUUCAUGUCAGCUAAUGUCA